rnacentral:rRNA from 1 species
UACGGAGGGUGCGAGCGUUUGUCCGGAAUCACUGGGCGUAAAGGGCGCGUAGGCGGCCAUUCAAGUCGGGGGUGAAAGCCUGUGGCUCAACCACAGAAAUUGCCUUUCGAUACUGUUUGGCUUGAGUAUGGUAGAGGUUGGUGGAACUGCGAGUGUAGAGGUGAAAUUCGUAGAUAUUCGCAAGAACACCGGUGGCGAAGGCGGCCAACUGGACCAUUACUGACGCUGAGGCGCGAAAGCGUGGGGGAGCGAACAGG